AUACGGAGGAUCCGAGCGUUAUCCGGAUUUAUUGGGUUUAAAGGGUGCGCAGGCGGCCAUUUAAGUCAGCGGUUAAAUCGUGGGGCUCAACCCCAUUCUGCCGUUGAUACUGGGUGGCUUGAUUGCGGUCGAGGUUGGCGGAAUUCGUUGUGUAGCGGUGAAAUGCAUAGAUAUGACGAAGAACACCGAUUGCGUAGGCAGCUGACCAGACCGCAAAUGACGCUCAUGCACGAAAGUGCGGGGAUCGAACAGGAUUAGAUACCCUGGUAGUCCGCACAGUAAACGAUGAAUACUUGUUUUCGGCGAUAUAAUGUCGGAGGCAAAGCGAAAGCGAUAAGUAUUCCACCUGGGGAGUACGCCGGCAACGGUGAAACUCAAAUGAAUUGACGAGG
rnacentral:rRNA from 1 species